AUUGAACGCUGGCGGCAGGCCUAACACAUGCAAGUCGAGCGGCAGCGGGAAAGUAGCUUGCUACUUUUGCCGGCGAGCGGCGGACGGGUGAGUAAUGCCUGGGAAAUUGCCCAGUCGAGGGGGAUAACAGUUGGAAACGACUGCUAAUACCGCAUACGCCCUACGGGGGAAAGCAGGGGACCUUCGGGCCUUGCGCGAUUGGAUAUGCCAAGGUGGGAUUAGCUAGUUGGUGAGGUAAUGGCUCACCAAGGCGACGAUGCCUAGCUGGUCUGAGAGGAUGAUCAGCCAAACUGGAACUGAGACACGGUCCAGACUCCUACGGGAGGCAGCAGUGGGGAAUAUUGCACAAUGGGGGAAACCCUGAUGCAGCCAUGCCGCGUGUGUGAAGAAGGCCUUCGGGUUGUAAAGCACUUUCAGCGAGGAGGAAAGGUUGAUGCCUAAUACGUAUCAACUGUGACGUUACUCGCAGAAGAAGCACCGGCUAACUCCGUGCCAGCCGCCGCGGUAAUAC
rnacentral:rRNA from 1 species